rnacentral:tRNA from 1 species
GCCUUCGUGGUGUAGUGGUCAACACGCUCGGUCGUAUUUGAGAGGUCCGUGGUUCGAGUCCUGGCGAGGGCA